GUGGGACCGUCCCCGCGCCGCUGUCUGAGGUUACUGUCUCUGUGCUGCCUCACUGACUGAAUGUCUCUGAACGUUACAAGAGCGAUUUGUGACUGAAAUUCAGAUUUUACGUUCGGGUGCAGCAUGACGACUCCUUCCAGUCUGAACCACUACAGCACCGGCAAACCAAUGGAUGCACAACAAGAUUUAACAUCCUCCACUUGCAACGUUUUAGAAACAUUGGUUGAAUGAUGUCUACAAUAAUUGGUGUGCAAGCGGCAGAACCACCUGUGUUUCUAUUCCGAUGUGCAGUAUAUUUUAGUACUAAACUGUGUCAGGGGAGAUUCUCCAAGUACAUGGAGAAUCUCAUGAAGGUGAUGUGCAGCAUUCUCAGCUGAAGAGUUAAAGGAAUGUAAAUGAUAGUAUUUUUAUAAGAUAACCAAGAACUCUGACCAAUUAAAUGCAAUCUUUACAUCUCAAA